UAUUGGACAAUGGGCGAAAGCCUGAUCCAGCAAUACCGCGUGUGUGAAGAAGGCCUUAGGGUUGUAAAGCACUUUCAAUUGGGAGGAAAACCUACCGGUCAAUACCCGGUAGCUUGACAUUACCUUUAGAAGAAGCACCGGCUAACUCCGUGCCAGCAGCCGCGGUAAUACGGAGGGUGCGAGCGUUAAUCGGAAUUACUGGGCGUAAAGCGUGCGUAGGCGGUUCGUUAAGUCAGAUGUGAAAGCCCUGGGCUCAACCUGGGAACGGCAUUUGAAACUGGCGGACUAGAGUUUAGUAGAGGGGAGUGGAAUUUCAGGUGUAGCGGUGAAAUGCGUAGAUAUCUGAAGGAACACCAGUGGCGAAGGCGACUCCCUGGACUAGAACUGACGCUGAGUACGAAG
rnacentral:rRNA from 1 species